UACGGAGGUUGCGCGCGGUAUCCGGAAUCACUGGGUUUAAAGGGUGCGUAGGCGGCUCGGUAAGUCCGUUGUGAAGGCCCCUUGCUUAACGAGGGAGGUGCGAUUGAUACUGUCGAGCUUGAAUCGGGAUGAGGCAGGCGGAAUGUGGCAUGUAGCGGUGAAAUGCAUAGAUAUGCCAUAGAACACCGAUUGCGAAGGCAGCCUACUGGGCCUGUAUUGACGCUGAGGCACGAAAGCGUGGGGAGCAAACAGG
rnacentral:rRNA from 1 species